rnacentral:lncRNA from 10 species
UUAACCUCCAGUUUUUGACAGAUUUUCUUAGAACAUUCCAAAGAUUCUCUCAUUACUUCAGAAACUUAUCUCGAAAUGAUGUAAAAGGAGGUUCAAAAUAUUAGGUUGCUUUUGGGUUCCCUUUAUCUCGAACAUUGUUGCGUAGAUUUGAGAAAGGGCUGAUUUCUACUUUGUUUUCUAAUCAGCAAGUCACUGGUUUUUCUACCUAAGAGAGACUGAACAUUAACCACAGUGAAGCAGAAGGGUUGAGCCGCAUUUACAAAGUGCCUUCACAUUUUGGUCCUCAGAAACCCAUCCGAGGGGGACAGAGUAGGUGUUACUGUUCUGAUUUUACACAUGAAGAGACUGGCCACUCGCCCCCACAAAUUUCUGGAAGCUAGUCUUCCUCACUGAACUGGAGCCAGAAGCCAUGUGAAGCCAGCCUGCUCCUGCCUACACCCUCCUUCCUCCAGGUUUUUAUUCUUCCAGCCCUGUGGAAAGGAGGAGAGCCGCAACCCGGAGAGGGAGCCGGAAAGAAACACUUAAUCACCGGCGUCUCGCUGCUCGUCACGCGAAGAUGGCAGCGGCUCCCCUGGGUUUCAAGGUUCCGGGAAAGGCGUGUGUUCUGCCUUAAGGCGCGCGGGCUGAUGCGCUCUCUCCCUCGGCUCGGCGGCCGGCUCCGGCUCACAGAGCCUCUCUCAACGCCGGCAAGUGCAGCCGGGCCGCCCAGCCCCCAGGCCAGCCUGGCCCCCUCUGGGCCUGGGGUUGGCGAGGGCAGCUGGGCGUCUGCGCUGCCCAGCCCAGCCGCGGAUCCAUGGGGUUUCGCGAGCUGAAAGUAAAGGCUUGAGGGAGUGGGGACACCCACACCGACCCGCGGCACGCAGGGGAGUCAAGCUGCGGCCAAUGCAAGACGAGCAGGGUAGACUACUACUAGCGGUGGCCGGAGGCUCAGCCACCUUCGCGGGAGAGGGGAUUUACCGCCACCCUCAUCCACGCGCAGGCCCCACCGCCCGGUCCUCUCCUCUGAUCCCCGGGCCAUUGCGAAACACGGAGCGAACAGGUCCUCGCCAGCAGCCGUCAUUUCCCGGGAAGAUGGGAACCCACAAGCCUGACUGUGCUUCCUAAGGAUACUAGCGUGCGCGCAGACCUUGGGGGGAAAGAGGGCAGCGCGGUCUCCCCGACCCGGACUCUUCCCUGGCGCAGCACACAACCGCCACGGGCUUCCGAAGCGCCCGAGCGGGGAGGAGGAAGGAAAAGCGGAGGCCCGGGAGGCGGGCUGCGCGCUUGGAAGCCGUGUGUGUUUAUGUGUCUGCGCGCGCGCCCUGGCCGGACGGGUGUUGAGGGGAGAGUGAUCGUGAGCAACCCGGAACCAGCAGUCCCAACCUGGACUGACGAACUGGGCUCUCCAGUCCUGGGCCGUGGGGCUCCAUGCCUCGGGCUGGCGGGACAAGCGGCGGGGAGCCCGGAGCUUCGGAGCCGCCGCCGGGCAUCUAGCCAGCUCCGCGGGAGAAGCCCGGGGGCGCGUCGGGAGCCAGGGGACUGGUGUGAACUAGCCGCCCCCGCAGGCGGACGUUUAGCUCCGGCACCCGGGAGCACUGACACUGGGCGAUAAGGAGUUCCUCGGCAAUCGGCUGUCCCCAGUCCCCAGUCACCUCCGGCGGACGUGACCGCCGGAUGCUAUGCAGCUAGGUGGGCCAGGGGGGCCUUUGCAUUGCCUUCCCUGACCCCUUCCUUGCCGCGGAGGAGCCACAGUAAGAUGCCUCUGUACGACUCUCCAGAACUUUCUUUUGCAAAAUAAAGGCCAAAUGUUGGGCCUUCUAGUCUCUUCAUAUUUUCCUUUGGAAGGUUGGGGUCCAGGCAGUCCUCUCGAAACAACCCCCAAACAGAUCACUUUCAUUACAAAACGCUAGAGAGGCAACACAGCCCUAUUUCUCUCUCUGGUCAAUCCAGGCCCUAUCUCUCCCUCUGGUCAAUCCAGGCCCUAUUAUCCCAAGCUGUGCGGCUUUGGGCAAACCGCUUAACAGUUCGAAACCUCGGAGUCCUCAUCUGUAAAAUAAGACCAAUACUAUUAUCUACCUCGUAGGGUUGUUCUGAGGAUAACAUGCCUCCAUACAUAAGGUGCUUAGAACGCUGCCUCCAGUACAAUGCUACGUGUGUUUGUUACUAUGAUCUGGCACUCCCUUUGGAUGGGUAGGGAGUACAAAGUUCCGGGUUAAAGUUCCUGGAAGUUUACAUGGAGCCAGUGGUCUUGGCAGGGUGGAAAGGGCACUAUUGUAUGGCCACUGAAAAGUGAAGGCCAAAUGCCCUCAAACUGUCUAGGUCUCCACUAGACCGUCCCAUAAAGGCUUGUGUGUGUGUGGUGGUGGAUAGGAGGGAGAGUCCUUUUUAAUGGUGCUCAUUUAGACUGGAUUAAUAGCAAGUUCCGUCAGGGCUCAGGCACCAUUACCCACUCUCUCCCUGCAGCCCUGGGGAAGAGCGCUGGUUUCCAGGACCUCCAGCCUACUCUUCCAGGACACCUUUUUUGAUGGCUGAAGGCCACCUCUUUAAAUCAGUUCUCGGAGGAGUUGGCCAAAAGCCAUGUCCUCUGGGAUGUACUUUGGUCUAACACUGGUGCAGGGCUGGCGUAUGGCAGGCCUUGUCCCUGGGCCGCUGGCGGGCCACAUUUUACUGGUGCACAGAUGCAAAUACCACUUCUGUAGACAGAAUCGGUCAGACUUCUAAUUUCAAAAGGCUUCCCAUUACCUUUGAAAUGGCG